UGGGAUGAAUUUGCAAAGUGCAAAAAUUCCAUGAUCUAGCUCCAAAACUAUGGAACCAUCUGCCUCUCCAUAUCAGACAGGCCUCCUCUCUGUCUGUUUUUAAAUCCCUUCU